GAACUUGGCAGAGAUGCCUUGGUGCCUUCGGGACCUCUGAGACAGGUGCUGCAUGGCUGUCGUCAGCUCGUGUUGUGAAAUGUUGGGUUAAGUCCCGNAACGAGCGCAACCCCUAUCCUUUGUUGCCAGCGAUUCGGUCGGGAACUCAAAGGAGACUGCCGGUGAUAAACCGGAGGAAGGUGGGGAUGACGUCAAGUCAUCAUGGCCCUUACGAGUAGGGCUACACACGUGCUACAAUGGCGCAUACAAAGAGAAGCGACCUCGCGAGAGCAAGCGGACCUCAUAAAGUGCGUCGUAGUCCGGAUCGGAGUCUGCAACUCGACUCCGUGAAGUCGGAAUCGCUAGUAAUCGUAGAUCAGAAUGCUACGGUGAAUACGUUCCCGGGCCUUGUACACACCGCCCGUCACACCAUGGGAGUGGGUUGCAAAAGAAGUAGAUAGCUUAACCUUCGGGAGGGCGUUUACCACUUUGUGAUUCAUGACUGGGGUGAAGUCGUAACAAGGUAGGCGUAGCGAG
rnacentral:rRNA from 1 species